rnacentral:rRNA from 1 species
AGUGAACGCUGGCGGUAGGCCUAACACAUGCAAGUCGAACGGCAGCACAGUAAGAGCUUGCUCUUACGGGUGGCGAGUGGCGGACGGGUGAGGAAUACAUCGGAAUCUACUUUUUCGUGGGGGAUAACGUAGGGAAACUUACGCUAAUACCGCAUACGACCUACGGGUGAAAGCAGGGGAUCUUCGGACCUUGCGCGAUUGAAUGAGCCGAUGUCGGAUUAGCUAAUUGGCGGGGUAAAGGCCCACCAAGGCGACGAUCCGUAGCUGGUCUGAGAGGAUGAUCAGCCACACUGGAACUGAGACACGGUCCAGACUCCUACGGGAGGCAGCAGUGGGGAAUAUUGGACAAUGGGCGCAAGCCUGAUCCAGCCAUACCGCGUGGGUGAAGAAGGCCUUCGGGUUGUAAAGCCCUUUUGUUGGGAAAGAAAAGCAGCAGGUUAAUACCCCGCUGUUCUGACGGUACCCAAAGAAUAAGCAUCGGCUAACUUCGUG